rnacentral:rRNA from 1 species
GAUGAACGCUAGCGGAAGGCAUAAUACAUGCAAGUCGAACGGAUGUAGCAAUACAUUAGUGGCGCACGGGUGCGUAACGCGUAUGCAACCUACCUUCAUCAGGGGGAUAACUACCCGAAAGGGUGGCUAACACCGCAUAAUACUAUUGAGUGGCAUCACUUGGUAUUUAAAUCUGAGGAGGAUGAAGAUGGGCAUGCGUCUGAUUAGCUAGUUGGUGUGGUAACGGCGACCCAAGGCGACGAUCAGUAGGGGAGCUGAGAGGUUGGUCCCCCACACUGGCACUGAGAUACGGGCCAGACUCCUACGGGAGGCAGCAGUAGGGAAUAUUGGUCAAUGGUGGGAACACUGAACCAGCCAUUCCGCGUGCAGGAAGAAGGGUCUCUGACUUGUAAACUGCUUUAGCAAGGGAAGAAAAAGCUCAUGCGUGAGAAAUUGACGGUACCUUGAGAAUAAGCACCGGCUAACUACGUGCCAGCCGCCGCGGUAAUAC